GAUGAACGCUGGCGGCGUGCCUAAUACAUGCAAGUCGAGCGGAGAGGACAGUGAUGUGCUCUUAGCGGCGAACGGGUGAGUAACGCGUUGGUGACCUGCCCCGGAGAGAGGGAUAACAGUUCGAAAGGAUUGCUAAUACCGCAUGAGGUUGGAAGGAUUAGAGGCCUUCUAACCAAAGGAGAAAUCCGCUCUGGGAGGGACCUGCGUCCCAUCAGCUAGUUGGUAGGGUAACGGCCUACCAAGGCGCAGACGGGUAGGGGACCUGAGAGGGUGGACCCCCACAAAGGAACUGAAACACGGGCCAUACACCUACCGGUAGCAGCAGUAGGGAAUAUUGCAUAAUGGGCGAAAGCCGGAUGAAGCAUCGCCGCGUGUGCGAUGCAGGCCUUCGGGUCGUAAAGCACUUUAGAGCGGAUGAGGAAGGACAGUACGCUCUGAAUAAGCCUCGGCUAACUACGUGCCAGCCGCCGCAGUAACAC
rnacentral:rRNA from 1 species